rnacentral:rRNA from 1 species
AACGAACGCUGGCGGCGUGCCUAACACAUGCAAGUCGAACGGUUGUAGCAAUACAAUAGUGGCGCACGGGUGAGUAAUGCAUGGGAGAUCUGCCAAGUGGAGAUGAAUAGCUACGGGAAGCUGUAGAUAAUGCAUCGUAAGCAGUGCCUUUUAGGUACUGGAAAGGCUGGGACCGCAAGGCCAGUCGCCAUUUGAUGAGCCCAUGUCCCAUUAGCUAGUUGGUAGGGUAAAGGCCUACCAAGGCGAAGAUGGGUAGCUGGUCUGAGAGGACGAUCAGCCACACUGGAACUGAGACACGGUCCAGACUCCUACGGGAGGCAGCAGUGGGGAAUAUUGGACAAUGGGGGAAACCCUGAUCCAGCAAUGCCGCGUGAGUGAUGAAGGUCUUCGGAUUGUAAAGCUCUUUUGGCAGGGACGAUGAUGACGGUACCUGCAGAAUAAGCUCCGGCUAACUUCGUGCCAGCAG